AUGGGAAGCAAGAGCAGCCGCCGAUGUGUGAAAGCAACGAGACAUGGCCAGCCAGAGGCGCCGGGGUCCCUUCACGGGGUUUGUUAACAUGGUAAUCCGGCACCAGGAGAGAAAGCUGCUUUCUGCUGCCCAGAGCCCAUUCCCCAUCACACAUCAGAUGACUCCCUGGCUUUACACACAGUUGGAGUUCUGCUCGAAACGUGGAUUUAAAGGGAAUCUGUUGCUGCGUAUGACAUCUCUUGCAAGCUCCCAGAGAGAAUUGAUGGCGCAUACAGCUAGGGAAUAGGAUACCAGAGAAGCACAGAGGAAGAAUCCAGGCAAUCACCAGGAUGGGAAGGUUCAGCGUCCACUGGAUAUGGGACAAGAUCGCUUGGCAACCCUUGUGGAUUCUCCUUCUUCUGGAGGCGAAUUAUAGUUAUGGAUUUAUUGUCCCGGUGCAGCACUUCCACCACCAGUAGCAACAGCAGCAGCUUUCUGACUCUCUUCGGUGACGGGUAUUCUUGGGUGGAUAAUACGGAUUACGUUGUUAUUGCUUAAGAAUACGCGUAGUCGAGGAGAGUACCGGCGGCGGGCAGGCAGGCAGGCAGCGCGACCGCCCCCAGCCCACCAGCUGGCUCCUCACCUCCUCUAGUUGCCAAGAUGUUUGCUCUGCCAGAUUUGAACACAGGAAUGUGAGGCCAGUGGGCUGAGCCUCAUGAAGCGGAGAAGAGAAGCAUUUAGCCUGGAAUUUAUAUCUUCCAUCAUUUCCAAGGGUGAGGCAGAAAACUGGUUUCUCCCUGGGAGAAGUCAACCAAAGAGGAACUGUGCCUUCAAGGAGGUGGGACAGUGUGAAUGCCAUUGGUCUUUGUCAUUAAUCAGCUCUCUUCAAGCUCGAUGAGGGGCUGACAGGAUCUGUCGAUUAAAUCUCAUGCCUUCAAAAGACAGGAACAAAAUCACCACUGUAAUGUUUGGCAAAGCAAAAUGUUUUUGUUUGCUGGCAAGGGUUUAACUCACGUGCAGCCCUGCUGCCCUCUUAGGAUGUCAAAGAAAGAGGCUUUGCAAGUCAAAUGCUGCCUGCCUUACCAGCCUGUCUUACCCCAGUGAUGAAGUGCUCCAGCAUCAGAAGUCACCUUCUGUGUUCAGCUGAGCUCAACUGGAACCGUGCUCUCUGGCUGUGCUGUUAAGUGGCUCUGAAGAUGUUACAGGUGCAGAGCUGUGCUGCUGUGUUUCAAGUGAUCAUAAAAACUCACGGGAUAAAUUGAAAAAGUGUGACUUUUCAUUGUAGCAAGCUUGGACUGGAUAAGCAACUCCAUCAUUGUGCUAAGGCAGCAGAUGCAGUCAGUGUUUGGAGGAAAUGGUUCAUGACCUGAUUAUACUUUCCAAGAGCUUCAAUGAGGAAAAAAAAGAUGCUGGAGGCUUCUCAUGUCAGAAUAACACUGGUGGGACAGGCAAGGGAAGCAGAAGGAUCAGACAGUGGGAGAGAAUGAACAGAAAGGUGCAAUGCAAGCAGAAAACCCCUUUGCCAUGCUUCAAGCUUACUGUUACACUCAAAGAUGUGGGACAAAAAGCAAGAGCUUCAGGAAAAGCCCUUUCCUGAGGACCAGCAGAGCAUGCCAGGAGGGUGCUGCAGCCAUUGUCUCUGCAGCUAAAAUGAAGAGCAAAGCCACAAUCUGAUGGGGUUGGGCUGCAGCAGAUUCAAGAUCUGGAUCACCCUGAGAGUUGGGUCUGAUGGGUCUCCAGAACCAAGGAAGGCCCUCAGGCAUUCUCUCCAGAUGGGGAUUCACAACCAGCUGGGAUAGGGUGCUACUGGAUGCUGGGAUGGACUCGCCCCAGAAGCAUCACAUCACAGCUGCUCCUUAGCCAAGCACGCGUGGAUGGGCUGUCAGGAGAGCGUUUCGGUCGGUGAGCAGCUUGCCCUGGGAAUGUGUGGUGCUGGUCCUGAGUGUGAGCCGUGACCUGUGCAGGGCCCAGGGCAGAGGGCCAGGAUGCUGCCCAGGGACUUGACCCUGAAGAAGGGCAGCUCUGAGUCUCAGCAAAAGCCAAGCUGGUCUUGCAUAAAUUCUCUGGUGGUUUAGGCCGGCCAAAUUAAACAUGUCCCGUACCUUGUCUUUGUCACAGCUUUGACAGAAGUCCCAGCUGUGGCUCAGAGCUGCCCCUGUUCAGGGCACUUGCUGGGGCAGGAAAGGGCAGACAUGGAGCCUGCCACUGUCAGGGCUUGGCCAUCAUGCUCCCACUGAGGUGACUCACUGAGGAGCCCUUGGGCAGCAGGUGGACACAGCCUCUGUUCCCUGCUGACCCAAUCCAUGCAGCUGUGCUGGAGCCAUGGCUACUCCCUGGAAGGAGAGAGGUAUCAGAGAGGGGAAGAGUGUGGACUGGGAGAAGGGAGAAGGUGAUAAACCAGCUCUUCAAGGCAGGGGUGAGGUUGAAUGCUGUGGUGAGCUGCUCUACCUGACAGGACUUGUCCUGCCAAGGGUAGGUCAUCUUUCCUUUGACUCAAGAGGGUGUUGGGGGGUGCUUGCUAGGCCCAGAAACCAGUCAGUGCUUCACUGGGUCUUUACAUGGUCAGUUGUGGUAUGUUCUGCUGCCCUGUGAUCUGCAAUUUCUAUUUUAUUAUUUAGGUGAGCUCUGGCUCUUGCUGUCUCAGGGGAAUUUCACCUAAGUAAAUGCUGGGAAAAUUUCUCUUUAUUCAAAUCAUAAGCACAAACACCUUUGACAUAAUUUUUCACUGUAGUACUUUGUAUAGGUUCUUUUUAAAGAAGUUAAUAAAGCUGGCAGCACAACUCCAUUGACUCUCAGCAGAACACCUCUCUCAUUCCUGAGGUCCCUUUCAUAACCAGUUAUAUUAGCACCAUUUGUUAGCAUCCUGCUUUUCUCUUCAGUAUUGCCACGCAAUGUGCCUUCUUUUGUAGUACCUAAAGCUUGUGAGAUAACUCAGUUUGCCUCCCAGUGGGGGAGAAGGUAUCUGUAAUCUGUGUUUUGUGUCUCGGGUAUCUUGAAAGGACGAGAAAUCCCAAAUGCAGUAACUUGUGGGUUUUCUGUCUUAGAGAAUUAGGAUGUCUUUGCAUUACUGAGCAGGCAAACAGUGAGCAGUACUUGAUCAAUAAGAGGCAUUGCCAGAGGUCUGCUAUAGUCUACCACAGCUGACGGUAAGUGUUGCUAUAGGCUAUGGAACUAGGAAUAUAAAAUGUCAAAUGACAGUAAUAAUUCAUGCAUCCUGGGACAUAUAAAACCAACAGCAUGUCAAUAGCUGUGGCAUACUCUGCAGAAAAUAUGCAGGAUUUAGACAUUGCAGGAGUCUGUUUUAUUUUAAACUACACUUUCCUUGAUGAAAUAUAGACUUUCCCUGUUUGUUAAAAGCAUUUAUUUUCAGUUUCAUGUUGCUACUACUCUAUUAACAUUCUAAGAGCCACACAGCUCAAAGGGGGCCCUGAGAUUCAAAAAGCAAAAUAUAUGUAUUUACUGAAGAAAAACACAUAAAAUAUUUAUAAAACAGAGGGUGCAAUACUAUUUGAGAUUCAUGGACCAUUUCAGCAUACAUAAAAGCAAAUAUGGUUCUCUUGUUGGUUUCACCUGGAAUCAGACUUUACUAGAGAGGUUGCCCAGGAGGGACCUGUCUUAAAAUGAAACUUAUUACAAUCAUUAAUUUUACAUGGAAAAUCAUUAAAUUUUACAUGGAAAGCAGAAUGUCUUGUGAAAUAAGUGAGAACUUCUCCAAUAUUCAUCUUCUUUAAAAAUACUUCAGGAUAAUUAGUAUCACUUUUCUUUUACAAAAAUAUAUGAGAGGGUGAAUUACUGCAUCUGGGAGGGCAUAGCAGGCAUAAGAGGAAAGAUUGUGUGUAUCUGAUACUUGUUUUCCCCUGUGCCCCUGCUGCUUGGGAACCUAAAAGUGAUGGGUGCUGUUUUACUGGCUAAGGCUCCCACAAAAAUUCUUCAGAUGAAACUUUAACGAGAGAAGGGUAAAAAUGUAUUUGAGCAGCCCCAUUCUUAUGCUUUCAGGUGUUUGCUCCUGAGCACCUCAGCUGUGGGUUGUCAAGCCUCAAUUUCUGUACAUUUGCUUGAAAGUAGAAGGGCAAGACAGAAAAGUUGCAUGUCCCUCAUGAUUAUAUGAAUAUAGGGCUUAAUAUACCGGUAAUACUUCUAAAAGAAUGUAAAAUAUUAACUGAAAAAAGAGAAAAGGAAAAGCAUCACACAAAGAAAUCCACUACGCAUUAUUUAGAUCUCCCCCUGCGAGAGGCUGAGGAUUCAAACACGUAUGAGUCGUCUGCUCUUCCAUGUGAUAGCAGCCCUUCUGCUUCAGCGUUGCACAGUCCUAGCUCUCAGUUGUCUACUUGAGAAUUUUUUUUAAGUUAUAUAUUCAAAAAAAAAGAUCUUAAAUAUAAUUUCCAUUAUUUGAAGACCAUAAAGUGAUUUUGGUGCAGUGGACUGUACCUAUAUAGACAGGCACUAAUAGAUAUUUUGGCACAUCUUGCUGAAGCUAGCUUGAGAUGGAGAUUAUUAAAAUAAAUAAAAAGCAAAAUUAAUCCUCCUAAAUGUCUGAGACCUAAGAAAAGGGAUGUCUUUGUUCUGACGAGAACAUCUUGGCUCGUUCUGCUCCUUUGGCUUGGUUUGGGGAGGAUGUAUUUAACAGUCCUCCCAUGGUACUUGGCAAAUAUAAAGCUGUCACAUUGGAUCCUGCUUCUCUUUGUAUUAAAAGAAUGUCUAUGGUGUUUAUGUUAUGGGAAAAAAGCGCUAUUUCUACUUAUUGUAUUUUCAUUGUCUCUUUUCUUAUGACUGUACUGUUUGCCAGCAGCCAAGGGGCCACUUUGAUGCUUGCUUUGAUGCCAUGGUUUAUUGUGUUGCACAGUUGAGCCUAUGGUUUUCCUUUCAAAUCAGAGCUGGCAUACUGGGUGGAAAAAAAAAAAAAACCAAACCAAAAAUAAAGCUUUUCUAUAAUUAUGGUUAUCUCAUAAAGUCUGCAUUUGUUACAGCUGCUGGGGUGUUGGAAAUCAGUGUUUGUAAAUACCUAUAUAUUCUGAUUUGUUUUCAGCCUCAGAGAUGUUUUUGUCUGUCUGUGUUCCUCACCCCUGGCCAUUCAUGCAAGCAGCCUUCCCUACCUGCACGCCGAGCUGCACUGCCUCGGGAAGAUACCAGCCUGUUACCCAGCUUAUCUGCAUGGUACUGCUUCACCUUGUUCCCUCUUCUCACUCUGAGGGAUUAGCAUCCAAAGAAAAACAAAUUAGUCUUGUAUCAAUUCACCCAGGAAAGCGAGUAGCUAAACCGACCAGAAGGUUCCUGCUGGCAGAACUGAGUGCAGAAGGAGGCUGGCAGGGUGUGUUCUUUGAGUGCUGCCCAGCUCCACCACGCUCUCUCAGAGGCCCACAGGGACACCAUGGGUCCUGCUAUGGGGAUCCAGACUCUCCUGUACCCACAGGAAGCCUCACUUGCUGGCUCCGUGCUCCACGUGGCAGUGCCAGUUAGGAUGUGUGUAAUACCUGCUUGGAUGUGUCUGUUGCUUUUCUCCAUAUGUCUUGUGGUCAUCUGAGAGCUGAUGAGGAACCAUUCUGUUUCCAUUCUGCUGAUGGAAAAGGAGAGGCUUUGAGAGGCUGAGUGAUUUGUCCAGGAUUAUGCAGCAGAUCAAUGGGAGAAAAGGGGAUCAGGCCAUUCCACACAGGAGUGCCUUUAGCUGUCCCAUGGGCUUUCUAGGGAAAGGCAUGCAGGUCCCCAAAGGGGCCGCCUCCAGCAGUGUUCCUCCAUUAUUUCUAUCAGAUUAUUGCUGUGAACAGUGGAGAAAUGCAAAAUGUAUUAUUCAUUUCUCCUACUUCUAAAAUCAAUAGCUAUCAAAAUACAAAUACAAUUUAAAUCAAAAGGCACUUAUUGAGUGCAGAUCCUACUAAUUAGGUAUGAUUUCCUAACAAUUUCUUAAAUUAUUUAUCCAAGGGAUGGGUGGAAAGCACUUUAUAUGUCCCAAAGUGAAUAUUAUAAACCUCUUGUGAUGAUACAGAAAAUGUGAAAUGUAGUGCAAUGCAGUGUGAUUUGUAACCUUGAUGAACUAAUGUAAUAUCAAUAGACAUCAAUCUGU
rnacentral:lncRNA from 1 species